rnacentral:tRNA from 1 species
GGGCUAUUAGCGCAGGCAGGUAGCGCAGCAGGCUUUUAACCUGAAGGUCGUGGGUUCAAAUCCCACAUAGCCCG